GUCAGCGGCCACAGGAGUGGGGCCACACCCGAACCCAUCUCGAACUCGGCAGUUAAGCCCACUCACGAAUGGUUUGGUACUGCAAUCUUGCGGGAAUUCCGUUUGCUGCUGGCA
rnacentral:rRNA from 1 species